rnacentral:ncRNA from 1 species
CCGCAGGGACGACCUUGCCUCAGCCCGACAUUGGUGGGGACGACCUCA